AUUGAACGCUGGCGGCAGGCCUAACACAUGCAAGUCGAGCGGAUGAAGGGAGCUUGCUCCUGGAUUCAGCGGCGGACGGGUGAGUAAUGCCUAGGAAUCUGCCUGGUAGUGGGGGAUAACGUCCGGAAACGGGCGCUAAUACCGCAUACGUCCUGAGGGAGAAAGUGGGGGAUCUUCGGACUGCACGCUUUCAGAUGAGCCUAGGUCGGAUUAGCUAGUUGGUGGGGUAAAGGCCUACCAAGGCGACGAUCCGUAGCUGGUCUGAGAGGAUGAUCAGCCACACUGGGACUGAGACACGGCCCAGACUCCUACGGGAGGCAGCAGUGGGGAAUAUUGGACAAUGGGCGAAAGCCUGAUCCAGCAAUGCCGCGUGAGUGAUGAAGGCCUUAGGGUUGUAAAGCUCUUUUACCCGGGAUGAUAAUGACAGUACCGGGAGAAUAAGCGCCGGCUAACUCCGUG
rnacentral:rRNA from 1 species